rnacentral:rRNA from 1 species
UACAGAGGUCUCAAGCGUUGUUCGGAUUCAUUGGGCGUAAAGGGUGCGUAGGCGGCGCGGUAAGUCGGGUGUGAAAUCUUGGAGAUUAACUCCGAAACUGCAUUCGAUACUGCCGUGCUUGAGGACUGGAGAGGAGACUGGAAUUUACGGUGUAGCGGUGAAAUGCGUAGAUAUCGUAAGGAAGACCAGUGGCGAAGGCGGGUCUCUGGACAGUUCCUGACGCUGAGGCACGAAGGCCAGGGGAGCAAACGGG